rnacentral:ncRNA from 2 species
AAAACAAUUAUAGCGCCAGCGCUGAAGAAAUUGGACGACAUAGAUCUUCAGCAGACGAGGUGGAGGAGUAUCGAAAGUUUCGGCGGAUGCCUCCCGAUCGCCAUUGCCCGAUCGAAAUUUUGCUUAUAAAACGUUUGAGUAAUCGAACGGACAAAGAAGCAAAAUGGCAAAGAC